CCUACGGGGGGCUGCAGUAAGGAAUAUUGGUCAAUGGACGAAAGUCUGAACCAGCCAUGCCGCGUGAAGGAUGAAGGUCCUCUGGAUUGUAAACUUCUUUUAUCUGGGACGAAAAAAGGGCUUUCUAGCUCACUUGACGGUACCAGAGGAAUAAGCACCGGCUAACUCCGUGCCAGCAGCCGCGGUAAUACGGAGGGUGCAAGCGUUAUCCGGAUUUACUGGGUUUAAAGGGAGCGUAGGUGGGCAGGUAAGUCAGUGGUGAAAUCUCCGGGCUUAACCCGGAAACUGCCAUUGAUACUAUCUGUCUUGAAUAUCCUGGAGGUAAGCGGAAUAUGUCAUGUAGCGGUGAAAUGCUUAGAUAUGACAUAGAACACCCAUUGCGAAGGCAGCUUACUACGGGAUUAUUGACACUGAGGCUCGAAAGCGUGGGGAUCAAACAGGAUUAGAUACCCCGGUAGUC
rnacentral:rRNA from 1 species